CCCUUAGAUGUUCUGGGCCGCACGCGCGCUACACUGAUGCAUUCAACGAGCCUAUCCUUGACCGACAGGUCCGGGUAAUCUUUGAAUCUGCAUCGUGACGGGGAUAGAUUAUUGCAAUUAUUAAUCCUCAACGAGGAAUGCCUAGUAGGCGCAAGUCAUCAGCUUGCGUCGAUUACGUCCCUGCCCUUUGUACACACCGCCCGUCGCUCCUACCGAUUGGGUGUGCUGGUGAAAUGUUCGGAUCGGCCGUUUGUCGCGGUUUCCGCGGCUCGUGGCUGAGAAGUUCAUUAAACCCUCCCACCUAGAGGAAGGAGAAGUCGUAACA
rnacentral:rRNA from 1 species